AUGGGCUCAUCGUCGCUCCUCUUUUCUUCUCCGAAACCACACACAACCGUCUCCAUUCGUUACAGCUCAUCUCAUGCUUCGCCAUCAUUUCGUCUCGACCUCUCUCAUCUCCAAUCUUCGUCGCGGCCUCCGCGACCUUUGUCUCACAGAGACAAUGUCCGGCGCUUCUUCGAUUUUGAUUCAGAAAUUGGUGGUGAUGUUGCAGUGAUGAAGAGUGGAGCGAGGAAGAUGAUGAAGGUGUUGUGUUGUUAUGGAGAGAGCAGGGGAAGUUGA